CCCUUAGAUGUUCUUGGCCGCACGCGCGCUACACUGAUGAACGCAACGAGACCACCUGUACCGAAAGGCAUGGGUAAACUUGUGAAAGUUCAUCGUGAUGGGGAUAGAUUAUUGCAAUUAUUAAUCUUCAACGAGGAAUUCCUAGUAAGCGCGAGUCAUCAGCUCGCGUUGAUUACGUCCCUGCCCUUUGUACACACCGCCCGUCGCUCCUACCGAUUGAAUGGUCCGGUGAAAUCUUCGGAUUGCUGGAUAGGACUUCAUUGACCUAUCUGCGAGAAGUUGCUUGAACCUUAUCAUUUAGAGGAAGGAGAAGUCGUAACA
rnacentral:rRNA from 1 species